rnacentral:rRNA from 1 species
AGCGAACGCUGGCGGCAGGCCUAACACAUGCAAGUCGAGCGCCCAGCAAUGGGAGCGGCAGACGGGAGAGUAACACGUGGGAACGUACCUUUCAGUUCGGAACAACCCAGGGAAACUUGGGCUAAUACCGAAUACGCCCGUAAGGGGAAAGAUUUAUCGCUGAAAGAUCGGCCCGCGUCUGAUUAGCUAGUUGGUGAGGUAAUGGCUCACCAAGGCGACGAUCAGUAGCUGGCUGAGAGGAUGAUCAGCCUCAUUGGGACUGAGACACGGCCCAAACUCCUACGGGAGGCAGCAGUGGGGAAUAUUGGACAAUGGGCGCAAGCCUGAUCCAGCAAUGCCGCGUGAGUGAAGAAAGGUCUUCGGAUUGUAAAGCUCUUUCGACGGGGACGAUGAUGACGGUACCCGUAGAAGAAGCCCCGGCUAACUUCGUGCCAGCCGCCGCUGUAAG